rnacentral:rRNA from 1 species
GACGAACGCUGGCGGCGUGCUUAACACAUGCAAGUCGAACGGAAAGGCCCUGCUUUUGUGGGGUGCUCGAGUGGCGAACGGGUGAGUAACACGUGAGUAACCUGCCCUUGACUUUGGGAUAACUUCAGGAAACUGGGGCUAAUACCGGAUAGGAGCUCCUGCUGCAUGGUGGGGGUUGGAAAGUUUCGGCGGUUGGGGAUGGACUCGCGGCUUACCAGCUUGUUGGUGGGGUAGUGGCUUACCAAGGCUUUGACGGGUAGCCGGCCUGAGAGGGUGACCGGCCACAUUGGGACUGAGAUACGGCCCAGACUCCUACGGGAGGCAGCAGUGGGGAAUAUUGCACAAUGGGCGGGAGCCUGAUGCAGCAACGCCGCGUGCGGGAUGACGGCCUUCGGGUUGUAAACCGCUUUCGCCUGUGACGAAGCGUGAGUGACGGUAAUGGGUAAAGAAGCACCGGCUAACUACGUG